rnacentral:rRNA from 1 species
UACGUAGGGUGCGAGCGUUAUUCGGAAUUAUUGGGCGUAAAGUGUGCGUAGGCGGCCGAGCAAGUCGAGUGUGAAAGCCCCGAGCUUAACUUGGGAACUGCGCUCGAAACUACUUGGCUAGAGUGUGGCAGAGGGAGGUGGAAUUCCACGUGUAGCGGUGAAAUGCGUAGAUAUCAGGAGGAACACCGGUGGCGAAGGCGGCUACCUGGACAGAAACUGACGCUGAGGCGCGAAAGCUAGGGGAGCAAACAGG